rnacentral:lncRNA from 1 species
GAAUUUGAAUGAGGAGCCUCAGCGCUUUCGGCGCCAUUUUCGAGUGAUGCCUGAUCUCAUCAAUCUAGCGGGAGAGACGGGAUAACCUGUCCGAGAGUACAGCGCCACUAGGACUCCGCCGAAAAAUCACUUAAAUCUCCAAAAAUUACUUCGAGCAAAGGGCAGGUGGCGGAGCUUGGCCAGUGUUGGCGCAGCCGGUUUUGACCUUUAGGAGAGAGCCAAUUCUGGAGAACAACCUAACUUCUUUGAUUGAACAUUCACAUAAUGCAAUGGAACAUGAUAGGAGAUUAAGGUUAAUAGCAAUAAAAUGAAGAUCAUAAUAAAACAAGCCCCCUACUUAGCCCUGUGGUUCUUAUCUAUCUUACCUACUUGAUGAAGAUGUCUUUUGAACAGUGUACUGCCAAGAUAUGAAAUGCUGUUCAUUUCAUGAAAAAGUAAAUUAUGCUUUUUACCAAGGUGGAUAUUACUAUCCCUUAUUCAUGGAAAAAGUUUUAUUCUAAGUGUUGUGUCUCAUUGAGUAUUAGCAAAAAGGAGAAAUAUUAAUGCUUUUGAGAUAGAUUUGGCUCUAGUAAGUACUGAGAUGUAUUAUUUGCAUAUCUGGGAGAAGAAAUGAGAGACCAUCAUCAGUACAUUUCCAGCUAAAAUUCUAUAUUUUCUUGCAUCUCAUGAAGGGAUUCCUUAUAAUUUCUGUUUUAUUACUAAUAGCUUGAACCCCUUUAAUGGAGAAUUAAUUUCUCCACCAGAGUUUAAAAAUUUAUGUUCUUACCUUGUUUAUUUAUAAAAUAUAUCCCACAGAUUUCUGAUGUCUAUUUUUUAGGCUAUAUACAAGUAAGAAAUGUUGGCAAAAUAAAUAAGUUUAAACCUUUUAUAUUAAAAUUACUAUGCAGAGUGACAAGUUAGUUGCUGUUUUUUGUCUUUAUUAUACUGAAAUUAAAUUCAACAUUUGUAAUUUCUAUUUGGGUCUAUUUCUUGAUUAUUAAUACAUAGGAUUCAUGCAAAGCUUCAUGAAUAACACAUUUAGAUUAGCAUAUUAAUGAAUGCAGGUCCCCCUUAAUUCUGUGGGACUUUGAAUAAUCUGAUAUUUGUUAUUUCUUAUGAUUGGACUUUGGUGUUUUGAAAAAAAUGUAAACUUCCUAGAGAAUCUUGUUAUUGUUUAUCUUAUGCUGUAGGGUUAGAUUUUGCUUGAGAAAUUUGCUGAGAAAAAAAUUUUUAAGCCACUUUUACACUAAAUGUUCCUCAAUAUGAUUAACCUGUUAUUAAAGCUAUUCCAUAUAUCUUUAUUUUAUAAUUUAAGUUUAUCAUGGAUUAU